AGCAGUCGCCGCGGGAAUACGUAGGUGGCAAGCGUUGUCCGGAACUAUUGGGCGUAAAGGGCUCGCAGGCGGUUUCUUAAGUCUGAUGUGAAAGCCCCCGGCUCAACCGGGGAGGGUCAUUGGAAACUGGGAAACUUGAGUGCAGAAGAGGAGAGUAGAAUCCCACGUGUAGCGGUGAAAUGCGCAGAGAUAUGGAGGAACACCAGUGGCGAAGGCGACUUUCUGGUCUGUAACUGACGCUGAUGUGCGAAAGCGUGGGGAUCAAACAGGAUUAGAUACCCCCGUAGUCCCUGUCUCUUAUAC
rnacentral:rRNA from 1 species